rnacentral:tRNA from 1 species
GGGCCCGUCGUCUAGUGGCUAGGAUUGUUCCAGCGAACCCUGAGGCCGCUCUUACGAGGCGGAGGUCCCGGGUUCGAAUCCCGGCGGGCCCA